rnacentral:rRNA from 1 species
GGCGAUGGCGGCAGGCUACACAUGCAGUCGAACGGUAACAUUUCUAGCUUGCUAGAAGAUGACGAGUGGCGGACGGGUGAGUAAUGCUUGGGAACUUGCCUUUGCGAGGGGGAUAACAGUUGGAAACGACUGCUAAUACCGCAUAAUGUCUUCGGACCAAACGGGGCUUUUAGCUCCGGCGCAAAGAGAGGCCCAAGUGAGAUUAGCUAGUUGGUAAGGUAACGGCUUACCAAGGCGACGAUCUCUAGCUGUUCUGAGAGGAAGAUCAGCCACACUGGGACUGAGACACGGCCCAGACUCCUACGGGAGGCAGCAGUGGGGAAUAUUGCACAAUGGGGGAAACCCUGAUGCAGCCAUGCCGCGUGUGUGAAGAAGGCCUUCGGGUUGUAAAGCACUUUCAGUUGUGAGGAAAAGUUAGUAGUUAAUACCUGCUAGCCGUGACGUUAACAACAGAAGAAGCACCGGCUAACUCCGUGCCAGCAGCCGCGGUAAUACGGAGGGUGCGAGCGUUAAUCGGAAUUACUGGGCGUAAAGCGCACGCAGGCGGUUUGUUAAGCUAGAUGUGAAAGCCCCGGGCUCAACCUGGGAUGGUCAUUUAGAACUGGCAGACUAGAGUCUUGGAGAGGGGAGUGGAAUUCCAGGUGUAGCGGUGAAAUGCGUAGAUAUCUGGAGGAACAUCAGUGGCGAAGGCGACUCCCUGGCCAAAGACUGACGCUCAUGUGCGAAAGUGUGGGUAGCGAACAGGAUUAGAUACCCCCGUAGUCCA